GACGAACGCUGGCGGCGUGCUUAACACAUGCAAGUCGAACGGAAAGGCCCUGCUUUUGUGGGGUGCUCGAGUGGCGAACGGGUGAGUAACACGUGAGUAACCUGCCCUUGACUUUGGGAUAACUUCAGGAAACUGGGGCUAAUACCGGAUAGGAGCUCCUGCUGCAUGGUGGGGGUUGGAAAGUUUCGGCGGUUGGGGAUGGACUCGCGGCUUAUCAGCUUGUUGGUGGGGGAGUGGCUUACCAAGGCUUUGACGGGUAGCCGGCCUGAGAGGGUGACCGGCCACAUUGGGACUGAGGUACGGCCCAGACUCCUACGGGAGGCAGCAGGGGGGAAUAUUGCACAAUGGGCGGAAGCCUGAGGCAGCAACGCCGCGUGCGGGAUGACGGCCUUCGGGUUGUAAACCGCUUUCGCCUGUGACGAAGCGUGAGUGACGGUACUGGGUAAAGAAGCACCGGCUAACUACGUG
rnacentral:rRNA from 1 species